UACGUAGGUGGCAAGCGUUGUCCGGAAUUAUUGGGCGUAAAGCGCGCGCAGGUGGUUCCUUAAGUCUGAUGUGAAAGCCCACGGCUCAACCGUGGAGGGUCAUUGGAAACUGGGGAACUUGAGUGCAGAAGAGGAAAGUGGAAUUCCAAGUGUAGCGGUGAAAUGCGUAGAGAUUUGGAGGAACACCAGUGGCGAAGGCGCCUUUCUGGUCUGUAACUGACACUGAGGCGCGAAAGCGUGGGGAGCAAACAGG
rnacentral:rRNA from 1 species